rnacentral:rRNA from 1 species
AUUGAACGCUGGCGGCAUGCCUUACACAUGCAAGUCGAACGGCAGCACGGGUGCUUGCCCCUGGUGGCGAGUGGCGAACGGGUGAGUAAUGCAUCGGAACAUGUCCUGUAGUGGGGGAUAGCCCGGCGAAAGCCGGAUUAAUACCGCAUACGAUCCACGGAUGAAAGCGGGGGACCUUCGGGCCUCGCGCUAUAGGGUUGGCCGAUGGCUGAUUAGCUAGUUGGUGGGGUAAAGGCCUACCAAGGCGACGAUCAGUAGCUGGUCUGAGAGGACGACCAGCCACACUGGGACUGAGACACGGCCCAGACUCCUACGGGAGGCAGCAGUGGGGAAUUUUGGACAAUGGGCGAAAGCCUGAUCCAGCAAUGCCGCGUGUGUGAAGAAGGCCUUCGGGUUGUAAAGCACUUUUGUCCGGAAAGAAAUCCUUGGCUCUAAUACAGUCGGGGGAUGACGGUACCGGAAGAAUAAGCACCGGCUAACUACGUG